UAUGUGGCAUAGCUAUAUCAAUCAGGGGCUUGGUUUUUUCACACAGCCCCAACCAACAAAGUGAUUUCAACAUUAGUUUUAGGAGCAGACCGACUUUAUGCUGUGGCAAGUGAAAUGGCUGAAAAAAGGGGAUGAGACUAUAGUACAGCUGAGAUACAUGUGAUCUUAGGUGCAUUUUCACUAGAAAAGAAGCUAACUUCAUGUAAGCUAACAAAGGGUAAUUGACCUCAGGCAAACAUCUUAGCCAUUUGUAGUUUACACACAAGUUAGGAGGUCAAGCUGAUGACUAUGGGAGUAUCUACAUUACAAGGCUCGGGACCUAAAUCCUCAAGACAAGACUGCAGUCCAGUUGAUUAAAUAUCUUCUUUAUAGUUCAGAGUUGCCCUAAUUUAAAACAUCACUUCGGGAAUGAGAAGAAUUACAGAGAACCCAUCUCAUCCUGGACUUUUCAAAGGUGCCAUGGGACUGAACAUGUCCACAGAGAGCAGAACAGACUUCAGCUUUUAACAUCCCUCCUGAAAAGCCCACAUGUGUAAUUGCAUGGAGCGCAAUUUAUUUGACUCAGAAGGACGGGCUAAGUUGACCCUGCUGGGAUUUGUUGGACCAGAGAACCCAAGUGUUUCAAAUGUGAUGCCUAGCAACAUAAUGACACUGUGCUACUCCCUCCAGGGCUGGUUUCAGAAUUAGUAGGAAGGUGCCUUUUAAUCACAUACAUGAAAGAAUCUCAAGUCACUAAUUAUAAUAAAUUUGGCAUCAAGUUCCAGGAAGCCUCAGAUAAUUCUACAAAACUAAGAAAUUCUGUACAUCAGCACUGUUGCAGGAACAGUGCUAGCCACAUUCCCGAGCUACUAAUUCUUGGAGUAAUUGUCAGUGUUUUCUUACAAAGUCUGAUUCUGUCAUAUGAUUAUUUUUUGGUACAGGAAAAUUGCACUGUAAAAAUGAUCAGUUCCAUUAUAAAAUCAGCCCUAUUGAAGUGAUCAGAUGUGAUGGUAAUUGAGGCCACAUAAAUACCUAGAAAAGGGACAAAAAUGUGGGUUUUUUUCAUGAUAAAGCAUUUAGUUUUUUCAGGGAAAAUAUGUUGAGGGUGAAAUCUUUGCCUUGUU